rnacentral:rRNA from 1 species
GACGAACGCUGGCGGCGUGCUUAACACAUGCAAGUCGAACGAUGAACCCGGAGCUUGCUCCGGUGGAUUAGUGGCGAGCGGGUGAGUAACGCGUGAGUAACCUGCCCUUGACUCUGGGAUAACUGCGGGAAACUGUAGCUAAUACCGGAUACGACCCUCGGCGGCAUCGCCAGGGGGUGGAAAGAAUUUCGGUCAAGGAUGGACUCGCGGCCUAUCAGCUAGUUGGUGAGGUAACGGCUCACCAAGGCGACGACGGGUAGCCGGCCUGAGAGGGUGACCGGCCACACUGGGACUGAGACACGGCCCAGACUCCUACGGGAGGCAGCAGUGGGGAAUAUUGCACAAUGGGCGCAAGCCUGAUGCAGCAACGCCGCGUGAGGGAUGACGGCCUUCGUGUUGUAAACCUCUUUUAGUAGGGAAGAAGCGAAAGUGACGGUACCUGCAGAAAAAGCACCGGCUAACUACGUGCCAGCCGCCGCCGUAA